CGGCAGCACGGGCGCUUGCACCUGGUGGCGAGUGGCGAACGGGUGAGUAAAGCAUCGGAACGUGCCCAACUGUGGGGGAUAACGCACCGAAAGGUGUGCUAAUACCGCAUAAGCCCUGAGGGGGAAAGCAGGGGAUCUUAGGACCUUGCGCGGAUGGAGCGGCCGAUGUCGGAUUAGCUAGUUGGUGAGGUAAAGGCUCACCAAGGCGACGAUCCGUAGCUGGUCUGAGAGGAUGAUCAGCCACACUGGAACUGAGAGACGGUCCAGACUCCUACGGGAGGCAGCAGUGGGGAAUUUUGGACAAUGGGGGCAACCCUGAUCCAGCCAUGCCGCGUGAGUGAAGAAGGCCUUCGGGUUGUAAAGCUCUUUCGGCCGGGAAGAAAUCGUGCAGUCUAAUACACUGUAUGGAUGACGGUACCGGAAUAAGAAGCACCGGCUAACUACGUGCCAGCAGCCGCGGUAAUACGUAGGGUGCGAGCGUUAAUCGGAAUUACUGGGCGUAAAGCGUGCGCAGGCGGUUUUGUAAGACAGGCGUGAAAUCCCCGGGCUCAACCUGGGAAUGGCGCUUGUGACUGCAAGGCUAGAGUACGGCAGAGGGGGGUAGAAUUCCACGUGUAGCAGUGAAAUGCGUAGAGAUGUGGAGGAAUACCGAUGGCGAA
rnacentral:rRNA from 1 species